rnacentral:lncRNA from 1 species
AAGGAAUUGAACAAAAAGUGCUUGAAAAAUGCAGGGCGGUUGGGGUGAGGGGUAACAGGAGCCCCCACUGCAGCCCAGCUUCAGAGGCUUCUCUCCAGAGUCUGCAGGCUCUUGAAGAACAGGAACAAUUGCCCUAAACCAGGGGCUGCCAUGUGGCAUUUGGGAAUUCAUCUCCGCGGGCCCUGUUGUGCCUGUUUGCAGCUCUGUGAAGCUGAAAAUGUGGUUCUGUUUCCUGCAGUUGUGAAAUGGGCAGAUGACUCUUAAUUAGGCUGAGAAUAAUUUGGCAGUCAACCCCAUCACAGCUCUAGCAUCCACCACCUCCCAUGCCACCUCCCACAUCGCCUCUUGCCUUCCAGCAGUACCUUUCCUGCCACAGUGGGAUGAGGGAGUGUUGGGGAUGAGCCUGCACAGGCUGGAAACUGGGGAUAUGGGGGCAGGGUGACACAGAGUUGUUGCUGGCUCCAUCCCCACCAGAUUUAUUCUGCUUUGCUGAGCAGAAAAGCCACGGAGUGAGCUGGAUGUCUGGCUGGGUGCUGAUGCUGAGGUGUUUGGGAGCACUGCUGAGCUCCCACAGAGCCAGAGUGGUUGGUGAUAGAACUUGAUGUGUUUAUGUUUUAUUUCAAUUUUAUGCUGCUUUUUUUUAGAGGUGAAACUGUCUGGGCAGCUCCAGCAAAGCCAGUGACACUGGAGGCUCUGGAAAUGGAUGGAGAUCUUCAUGUCACCACAGGAAUGGGAUUUGCUUGUAAAGAGCAUCUUCAAGAUGAAACCUGGUCCAUGCAUGAAGACCACUCUCUGCUGGAGAAAUGCACAACACAAAGAAAAUGUGCAGCUCCCAGGACAGCCCAAAAGUUGGCCAGGAGAAGGAGAGGAGACACAGGAGAGAGAAGAAAGACGGGAGGUGCUUAGAGCCUUGGGGAUGGCUCCUGUGCCAGAGCAGGGGCAGUGCAGAGCAGCUGUUGGUAUGACCCACACGAUGCCAGUGACUCAGUGGCUGAAUCAGAUGAGGAGUGUCCUGGUCCCAUCCUCCAGGGAGGUGCACUGGGGUGAUGCCAGAAGGGCCCAGCCUGUGCCAUUCCCACAGUGUCAGCAGCUCAGGGUGGGAGUUGAUGUGUGGCGGGUGACUGAUCUGACUCUCACCUCUGGGAGAAGAGAACCAGCACUCAUGCUGUGCUUUGAGCCAGCUGAACAGCCUCCUGCCCCUUUUAGCUUUCCCCAGCCUCGUAACACUUUGGUCCCUUUGCACACAGGUUCUAACCUCUCAGGAGCCACAGGUCUCUGCCAGAGUAGGUCACCAGCCUGAGCAUGUUGGAUUCAUGUGGGACACAGGGGCUUUCCUGAGAAAUCUGCCUUGGUGUCUCUAUUUUGCCCUAAUUGGAUGGCUUUGCUGUGGGUUCCUAGUCUGCCCUGCUCUGAGAGUCUCUCUCUAUGUUUGUUUAUCCCUCAGUUUUUGUGAAAACCCACCAGC